UACAGAGGGGGCAAGCGUUAUUCGGAAUUACUGGGCGUAAAGCGUGCGCAGGCGGCUUUGCAAGACAGAUGUGAAAUCCCCGGGCUUAACCUGGGAACUGCAUUUGUGACUGCAUGGCUGGAGUGCGGCAGAGGGGGAUGGAAUUCCGCGUGUAGCAGUGAAAUGCGUAGAUAUGUGGAGGAACACCGAUGGCGAAGGCAGCCUCCUGGGCUGAUACUGACGCUCAUGCACGAAAGCGUGGGGAGCAAACAGG
rnacentral:rRNA from 1 species